AGAAGAAUUUAUUUCUUCAGAUGGAAAACUAUUCUAAGACUUUCAAAAAAUUUCUUGUGUACCUUGGGGUCCACAAACAUCCACGGGAAAAUAUCAAUCCGACUUCCACUUACUUGAGUAAUUUUCUCGGCUGUUACAUGAUUUUUCUUUGUCUGCAUUUUACUCUUUAAAGAGGGUUAUUACAUUCUCCCCCUCUCAA
rnacentral:lncRNA from 1 species